rnacentral:rRNA from 1 species
GAUGAACGCUGGCGGCGUGCCUAAUACAUGCAAGUCGAGCGAACAGACGAGGAGCUUGCUCCUCUGACGUUAGCGGCGGACGGGUGAGUAACACGUGGAUAACCUACCUAUAAGACUGGGAUAACUUCGGGAAACCGGAGCUAAUACCGGAUAAUAUAUUGAACCGCAUGGUUCAAUAGUGAAAGACGGUUUUGCUGUCACUUAUAGAUGGAUCCGCGCCGCAUUAGCUAGUUGGUAAGGUAACGGCUUACCAAGGCAACGAUGCGUAGCCGACCUGAGAGGGUGAUCGGCCAAACUGGAACUGAGACACGGUCCAGACUCCUACGGGAGGCAGCAGUAGGGAAUCUUCCGCAAUGGGCGAAAGCCUGACGGGGCAACGCCGCGUGAGUGAUGAAGGUCUUCGGAUCGUAAAACUCUGUUAUUAGGGAAGAACAAAUGUGUAAGUAACUAUGCACGUCUUGACGGUACCUAAUCAGAAAGCCACGGCUAACUACGU